CGGGUCCCUCACGGGUCUGCCCGCGACCGGGCUGCAACCUGCGGCCGCCGAGAUACCGCGGCCCUGCUUCAGCGCAGCCAGCAGGGAGCGGCCCGGGAAGCAGGCGGAAAGAAGUCACUCCCUUUCUAAAAGGUGGUGUCCCCCUCCGGCUUUCGUGAGCUCCUCAGUGCCCACACCUGAACGAGGCUUAGUGAUCCUUGCCCUUGCUUCACCUUGACUCGGUUUGAAUUGGAGGGGCAAUACAAGCGUUUGAAUUGACAUAAGCAGCGCACUGUGUCUGUCGCGUACCCCCGCCCCCAGCAAUACACCCACAGUGGGUGAGUGAAAGUGCAGUCCACAUUUCAGGAUUUUUCCUGGACCCUUCCUCCAGUCUGCUGCUCAUCUUGUCAUCGCCCAUGAAACUCAUUUCUUGUGUGAGAAAAAUGAGCUGGGCUGAGUACAGCCUGUGAAGGAACACUUGACACUUGGAAGAAACCCAGCAAAUGGCAUGAGAAAGGCUGUUGGGACACCUAUGAUCCUGUGAGCAUGGCUGAACCAUUACAUCAUCUGGGACUUUGUGACCUUGCAAAAUGUUCUGCUUGCAUGAGGAAGGUGCCAUUAAAUUCAAACCAAGAUACCAUAAGAGAAGCCAGAAAACAAGCUGAAUAAAACCUUCCUAAAUUGGACCAAUAUUAUUCCCAUUUACGCCCUAAAAAUCAACAUGAAUGAAGCAGGAAGCAAAAAUAAGCUACCAAUGGUAAUAAUUCUAAGUGAGUAAUCUGUUUGCUUUAGUUUUCUAUAUCCACCCAUUUUCCUUGUUUUUCAUUUGCUUCCACUUUGUAUCCAAUUUAUGGCAGGAACACAUACAAGUGUACUACUACAUCCCGGUUCCACAGCAUUGACUGAUCUUGCCAGUACUUGUCUUGCAAAACAGCAAAAAGCAUCUGGAACAGGCCAUCAGUUGCACCUGCAAUUCACUUUUAACCCAUGAUAUGUCUUACUGAGUCAGUAAACACUUGUGAAAUUAUAUUUUUCCAUGGAAGGAGGCGAUACUUUGCAAAGACAGCAGGGCACAAAGAUGUAUGAUAUUUUUCAAGGGAUAAACAUAGGUCCCCCAAAUGAUAUAAGAAUGAUGUUUUCCUCAAUGAAAUAAUCUUACAGCGCUCUUUUAGUGAAAUAGCUCUUUCUGGAGUAUUUUGUGGAAUACUUAGGUUAGGGAGCAAAAUCACAAUUCUUCUUUCUUAGAAGUGAAAAAGCAAACAGCAACCAUUUCAAUAAAAUUAUUCAAUGUUCAAAAUGUUCAAUCUAGCAACUAAAAGAGCCCCAGGGACUCUGCACCUUGGGCAGUGGUACAGCCAGGCAUCCAGGCUUGAGUGGGAAUCCAUGAUUCUUGCCUACACCCCUGGGUAAAGUGGAAGGAAGUAGCAAUAUGAGCUGAAAUUAGAAAUAGUUUCCCUAAAAAGCAAGGUCCUUGUUCAGGCUGGUCAAAUAUUUGCUAUCAAAGCUGUUCUUGAAUGGCAGAUUACUCUCAUAAACUGGUUGGCUGUUUUGAGGAUUUUUCCUUAAAUUUCUGUCUUAUCCUUAGAAAACUGAGUUUUCAUUAUUUCCAAAAAAGAAACCCCAA